GGCGGCGUGCCUAAUACAUGCAAGUAGAACGCUGAAGGAGGAGCUUGCUUCUCCGGAUGAGUUGCGAACGGGUGAGUAACGCGUAGGUAACCUGCCUGGUAGCGGGGGAUAACUAUUGGAAACGAUAGCUAAUACCGCAUAAGAGUAGAUGUUGCAUGACAUUUGCUUAAAAGGUGCAAUUGCAUCACUACCAGAUGGACCUGCGUUGUAUUAGCUAGUUGGUGGGGUAACGGCUCACCAAGGCGACGAUACAUAGCCGACCUGAGAGGGUGAUCGGCCACACUGGGACUGAGACACGGCCCAGACUCCUACGGGAGGCAGCAGUAGGGAAUCUUCGGCAAUGGACGGAAGUCUGACCGAGCAACGCCGCGUGAGUGAAGAAGGUUUUCGGAUCGUAAAGCUCUGUUGUAAGAGAAGAAACGAGUGUGAGAAGUGGAAAGUUCA
rnacentral:rRNA from 1 species